rnacentral:tRNA from 2 species
UGCGGGGUGGAGCAGAGGUAGCUUGUCAGGCUCAUAACCUGAAGGUCAUUGGUUCGAUUCCAAUCCCCGCUACCA